rnacentral:rRNA from 1 species
GAUGAACGCUGGCGGCGUGCCUAAUACAUGCAAGUCGAGCGAACAGACGAGGAGCUUGCUCCUUCGACGUUAGCGGCGGACGGGUGAGUAACACGUAGGUAACCUACCUAUAAGACUGGGGUAACUUCGGGAAACCGGAGCUAAUACCGGAUAAUAUUUCGAACCGCAUGGUUCGAUAGUGAAAGAUGGCUUUGCUAUCACUUAUAGAUGGACCUGCGCCGUAUUAGCUAGUUGGUAAGGUAACGGCUUACCAAGGCAACGAUACGUAGCCGACCUGAGAGGGUGAUCGGCCACACUGGAACUGAGACACGGUCCAGACUCCUACGGGAGGCAGCAGUAGGGAAUCUUCCGCAAUGGGCGAAAGCCUGACGGAGCAACGCCGCGUGAGUGAUGAAGGUCUUCGGAUCGUAAAACUCUGUUAUUAGGGAAGAACAAACGUGUAAGUAACUGUGCACGUCUUGACGGUACCUAAUCAGAAAGCCACGGCUAACUACGUG